rnacentral:rRNA from 1 species
AGUGAACGCUGGCGGCGUGCUUAACACAUGCAAGUCGAACGAGAACGGAUUAUAGCUUGCUAUAUUUGUCAGCUAAGUGGCGCACGGGUGAGUAAUGUAUAGGUAAUAUGCCUCUUACUAAGGGAUAACAAAUGGAAACGUUUGCUAAUACCUUAUACUCCUUAUUAACAGAAGUUAAUAAGGGAAAGAUUUAUUGGUAAGAGAUUAGCCUGUAUUGUAUCAGUUAGUUGGUGGGGUAAUGGCUUACCAAGACUAUGACACAUAACUGGUUUGAGAGGAUGAUCAGUCACACUGGAACUGAGACACGGUCCAGACUCCUACGGGAGGCAGCAGUGGGGAAUAUUGCACAAUGGACGAAAGUCUGAUGCAGCAACGCCGCGUGGAGGAUGACACAUUUCGGUGCGUAAACUCCUUUUAUAUGAGAAGAUAAUGACGGUAUUAUAUGAAUAAGCACCGGCUAACUCCGUGCCAGCAGCCGCAGUAAUAC